GGAAAUCUAUAAAGCAGUCAAGGUGUUUGCAGAAAACUACGGCGAUUCUGAGGUCCUGGCUAUCAUGAUAAGUUGUUAUACCGAUGGGUGUUUAGAUGUAGUACGACUUCCUACUAAAGAAGAAUCUGAUAAUUCUUUAAAGAAUGUUUUCUAUAAGUAUUGCGAAAUCACUAAUUUUAAAAAACCUAUGACGCCCAAAAACCAGCAUAAAGUAGCUCGCUAUAAUUGCUAUAUAACAAAAGAAAAUCAAGUGAUAAAGAACAAAACGAAAUUCAUAGUGGCCGAUCUAGAAACGAUUCCCUAUAAAUUAGGAGAAAACGACGAAUACAAUACACACGUCCCCUACGCAGGGGGGUAUAUGACGAUUGAUACGGAUAAGGGAUUAGAUGAAAAUAAAAUUAUAAUGUUCUAUGCUGAUGACUACAAAAUACUAUACGAAGAUUUUAAGUCAAUGAGUACAAAGAUGCUCACAGUUAUGAUGAACAGGUUGAUCAAAGAAGCCAGAUCAGCAAGAACAUGUUUGGUAGUAUACUUUCAUAAUUUAGGUCAGUUCGAUGGUCUUUUUAUACUAAGGCAUUUAACAAUGGAACACAGGGGUUUGGUAGUAGAACCCUUGGUUCGAAACCGUAUUAUUUACAAGAUAAGUGUCUAUACAGUAUCCCCCAAGGGCAGGC
rnacentral:misc_RNA from 1 species